GGGCAUGGUCGGCUCCCUGGACUGUGCCUGUUCCCUGAGCCAGGACUUUGAUUUCAGCGUUCCUUUCUCUAAAGCCACGGCCACUGCAGCCCAGCAGUGACUCAAGCAGAUGGCUGUUGGUGACAAGCCUCUUCUGAUUGGUAAUAAAAAUACCAGAAGCUACACUGCAUUGUGUACAAAUACGUGAGGCUAUUGCAGAUUCCUUUGUAUCUCUAGAUUCUAUUUUGAGAGCGGGUUGAUCUUCUCCAUGCAGAACCCUCACAGAAUGAGCAAUCACGCCAGGACUCCUGGGUUCAUGACACACCAACCAUCACCCCAGCACCCGACUCCUCUUCUUCCAUUGGACUCUGCCCUGAAGCCUGCAGCAGAUAGCCAAAGAAACACAACUCAUGAGCCCUGAGGAAGCUGGUUCGCCUGUCUAGAAGCCAUCCUCAAAGUCUCCUGGGCACUUCCCCAAGUCUCCCCGGCCUGUUUGUCUCUGCACACACAGAUUGCUUUCUCCUGACCGCUUGCAGCCCUGUCUUUACUUGGCGAUUAAUUGUACAUCAUCCCUGACAUCUUUUACCGUGUUCUGCUAUAUUUUUAUUUAUUAUUGAUUCUACACAUGCCUAACAUUUGCUAAGUCCAAACCAUGUGCUGACAGCACUUAGCAAUGGUCUUGCUGAAGGGAUAAAAGACUAUUAAAUUGGGUUGAAACA